AAAGUUUUAGGUUAGUUUUAAUCUAGGUUAGGAAAAUAUAAAAUAUAAACAAAUUUAAUAAAAGCAGAAAUAAAGAAUAUUAUAAUGAUAUAAAUAAAAUAAGAAUUCGAUCACAUCAUGAUCAUGCAAGAACCAGUAAAACCCAGUGAAUCAGACUGUUGUGGCUCGGGCUGUAAUCCCUGCAUAUUAGAUGUUUAUGAAGAGCAGUUGAAGAAAUACAAUGCCUCAAAAAACCAAGAACUAAAGAAUUCCUUUAAUACCUGCUUAUCUCCUACAACUUUUAGCUUAUUUAAGUUAAUAGAUGUUAAAAAGCAUACCAAAGAUUGUAAUUUAAAUACAUUCAGAUUUAUACAGUUUCAAAACUCAAGUCUUGAACACAACAUUGAUCAGUUGUCUGUUCAAUAUGAACCAGGUCAGUAUUUGUUAUUAAAAGGAGAAGUACAAGGGGAUAUUUUUCAAAAAGCAUAUACUCCAUUGUAUGUAGAGGACCUAGACCAACACUGCUUCACCAUAUUAGUAAAGUUAUAUAAUAAUGGCCGAAUGUCAAAGCUUUUUAAGGAAUUAACCAUAGGUUCUAAGACCUUAUGGCGGGGACCCUAUGGCAAAUUCAAAAUCGAUUAUAAAUGUAAACAUAUACUAUUUAUUGCCCAAGGAACAGGCAUUGCCCCAUUUUAUACAAUUAUAUCAAAGAUGUUACUAAAUGAGGAUUGUUUGAGUUUUUUAACUUUAUAUUUCUGUUGUGACCAAGACAAUAUAUUGCUUAGAGAUGAAUUAUAUAAAUUGAGAGAUUAUUGGAAUUUUAGUUAUGAGCUAUUUAUUUCGAAGUUAAAUAUGCAAGCAUUUACUAAAAAAUACCAUGAAGUUGUAAAAGGUUCUCGACUAGGGAUCGCUGAUAUUAAACAGUUUUUGAAUAAAGUAAUGCUUCAGAAAAAUGUAAGUUUAAAAGUGUUGGUAUGUGGAAGUGAUUCUUUUAGUGAAAAUAUUAAAUUUAUUUUAGAGUCCUGUAAUGUCAUGUCUGAUGAUAUAAUAAUUUUUUAAUAUUAUGGAUUUUUAAUAUUCAUUUGGUUACUAUAAUCACCAAAUAUUUACCUUUUGUUUUGUUUGUUUGCAUGCAAUCAUUCCUAUAUCUUUUAUUAAAGCUAAUUUAAUUUAGUGAGAUAUUUUUGUUAAAAUGGCUCAAUUUAUAGUAAAAAUUUUGUCACUUUCUACUACUUCUAAAUUAAGUUUGACACACUGUCUUUUUUUUCGUAAAAAUAAAUUGAUUAAACUGAUACAAAUUAAAGUGAACCAACUAGACUAAAAAACAAAACCCAACGCAUUUCGGCUUCAUAAAAAAAAAUUUUACUAUAAUGUAUUAAAUUAAAGAAAAUGAAACCAGAAAACAAAAUAGGAGCUGUGAGAGGAAUAUAUUAUGAUGCCAAACCAACAUUUUGACUCUGCAAGUUCACAUUAUACUUAAUUGUUGAACCACCUCAGGAAAGAAGUCAACUAAACAAGGAAUGAUGCAACAGUAAUAAAAUAAAAAUUUACUUUUUAUUUUAUUAAAUGUGAUAUAAAACCAAUAUAUAUAACUAUAAAUAUAUAUAUUUUAAGUAUUAAUAUUUUUAAAAACAAGUGUAUAUGAGUAAAUAAAUAAUGUACAUUGGUAUUAUAA
rnacentral:misc_RNA from 1 species